UACGGGGGGAGCAAGCGUUGUUCGGAUUCACUGGGCGUAAAGGGUGCGUAGGUGGCGUGGUAAGUUUGAUGUGAAAGCUCAGGGCUUAACCCUGAAAUGGCAUUGAAUACUACUGUGCUGGAGGUUUGGAGGGGGACUGGAAUUCUUGGUGUAGCAGUGAAAUGCGUAGAUAUCAAGAGGAACACCAGUGGCGAAGGCGAGUCCCUGGACAACACCUGACACUGAGGCACGAAAGCUAGGGAGCAAACAGG
rnacentral:rRNA from 1 species